AUUGAACGCUGGCGGCAUGCCUUACACAUGCAAGUCGAACGGCAGCGCGGGAGCAAUCCUGGCGGCGAGUGGCGAACGGGUGAGUAAUAUAUCGGAACGUGCCCAGUAGUGGGGGAUAGCCCGGCGAAAGCCGGAUUAAUACCGCAUGAGACCUGAGGGUGAAAGCGGGGGAUCGCAAGACCUCGCGCUACUGGAGCGGCCGAUAUCAGAUUAGCUAGUUGGUGGGGUAAAGGCCUACCAAGGCAACGAUCUGUAGUUGGUCUGAGAGGACGACCAGCCACACUGGGACUGAGACACGGCCCAGACUCCUACGGGAGGCAGCAGUGGGGAAUUUUGGACAAUGGGCGCAAGCCUGAUCCAGCAAUGCCGCGUGCAGGAAGAAGGCCCUUCGGGUUGGUUAACUAGCUUUUGUUCUAGGGAAGGAAAA
rnacentral:rRNA from 1 species